GCGAUAUUAACUCAGUUGGUAGAGCGGGAGUUUUCCAAACUCCAGGUCAUCGGUUCGAACCCGUUAUAUCGCUCCA
rnacentral:tRNA from 1 species